rnacentral:rRNA from 1 species
AAUAUUGGACAAUGGGGGGAACCCUGAUCCAGCCAUGCCGCGUGUGUGAAGAAGGUCUUCGGAUUGUAAAGCACUUUAAGCUGGGAGGAAGAGAUAUAGGCUAAUAUCUUGCAAUUUUUACGUUACCAACAGAAUAAGCACCGGCUAACUUCGUGCCAGCAGCCGCGGUACUAAGAAGGGUGCAAGCAUUAAUCGGAAUUACUGGGCGUAAAGCGCAGGUAGGUGGUUCGUUAAGUUGGAAGUGAAAGCCCCGGGCUUAACCUGGGAAUUGCUUUCAAAACUGACGAGCUAGAGUACGGUAGAGGGUAGUGGAAUUUCCUGUGUAGCGGUGAAGUGAGUAGAUAUAGGAAGGAACAGCAGUGGCGAAGGCGACUACCUGGACUGAUACUGACACUGAGGUGCGAAAGCGUGGGGAGCAAACAGG